rnacentral:rRNA from 1 species
UACGUAGGGUGCAAGCGUUAAUCGGAAUUACUGGGCGUAAAGCGUGCGCAGGCGGUUAUGCAAGACAGAUGUGAAAUCCCCGGGCUUAACCUGGGAACCGCAUUUGUGACUGCAUAGCUGGAGUACGGCAGAGGGGGAUGGAAUUCCGCGUGUAGCAGUGAAAUGCGUAGAUAUGCGGAGGAACACCGAUGGCGAAGGCAGGCCCCUGGGCCUGUACUGACGCUCAUGCACGAAAGCGUGGGGAGCAAACAGG